UACGUAGGGUGCGAGCGUUAAUCGGAAUUACUGGGCGUAAAGCGUGCGCAGGCGGCGCGUUAAGACAGGUGUGAAAGCCCCGAGCUUAACUUGGGAAUUGCGCUUGUGACUGGCGUGCUGGAGUGUGGCAGAGGGAGGUGGAAUUCCACGUGUAGCAGUGAAAUGCGUAGAUAUGUGGAGGAACACCGAUGGCGAAGGCAGCCCCCUGGGCCUGCACUGACGCUCAUGCACGAAAGCGUGGGGAGCAAACAGG
rnacentral:rRNA from 1 species